GACGAACGCUGGUGGCGUGCUUAACACAUGCAAGUCGAACGGAAAGGCCCUGCUUUUGUGGGGUGCUCGAGUGGCGAACGGGUGAGUAACACGUGAAUAACCUGCCCUUGACUUUGGGAUAACUUCAGGAAACUGGGGCUAAUACCGGAUAGGAGCUCCUGCUGCAUGGUGGGGGUUGGAAAGUUUCGGCGGUUGGGGAUGGACUCGCGGCUUAUCAGCUUGUUGGUGGGGUAGUGGCUUACCAAGGCUUUGACGGGUAGCCGGCCUGAGAGGGUGACCGGCCACAUUGGGACUGAGAUACGGCCCAGACUCCUACGGGAGGCAGCAGUGGGGAAUAUUGCACAAUGGGCGGAAGCCUGAUGCAGCAACGCCGCGUGCGGGAUGACGGCCUUCGGGUUGUAAACCGCUUUCGCCUGUGACGAAGCGUGAGUGACGGUAAUGGGUAAAGAAGCACCGGCUAACUACGUG
rnacentral:rRNA from 1 species